rnacentral:rRNA from 1 species
UACAGAGGGGGCAAGCGUUGUUCGGAAUUACUGGGCGUAAAGGGCGCGUAGGCGGCCUGCUAAGUCGAACGUGAAAUCCCUGGGCUCAACCCAGGAACUGCGUCCGAUACUGGUUGGCUUGAAUCCGGGAGAGGGACGUGGAAUUCCAGGUGUAGCGGUGAAAUGCGCAGAUAUCAGGAGGAACACCGGUGGCGAAGGCGGGUCUCUGGGCCGAUACUGACGCUGAGGAGCGAAAGCGUGGGGAGCGAACAGG